rnacentral:rRNA from 1 species
UGGGGAAUAUUGGACAAUGGGGGCAACCCUGAUCCAGCCAUGCCGCGUGAGUGAUGACGGCCUUAGGGUUGUAAAGCUCUUUUCUCCGGGACGAUAAUGACGGUACCGGAGGAAUAAGCCCCGGCUAACUUCGUGCCAGCAGCCGCGGUAAUACGAAGGGGGCUAGCGUUGCUCGGAAUCACUGGGCGUAAAGGGCGCGUAGGCGGCUGAUUUAGUCGAGGGUGAAAGCCC